GCCCCAGUAUCCUAGUGGUUAGAGCAUCCGCCUCGGAUGCGGGAGGCCGUGGGUUAGAUUCCCAGUCGAGUCA